GGUAAGUGACUCAGUGGUAGAGUGCUUGCCUUGCAUGCAUGAAGCCCUGGGUUCGAUUCCUCAGCACCA
rnacentral:tRNA from 1 species